rnacentral:rRNA from 1 species
GACGAACGCUGGCGGCGUGCUUAACACAUGCAAGUCGAACGGAAAGGCCCUGCUUUUGUGGGGUGCUCGAGUGGCGAACGGGUGAGUAACACGUGAGUAACCUGCCCUUGACUUUGGGAUAACUUCAGGAAACUGGGGCUAAUACCGGAUAGGAGCUCCUGCUGCAUGGUGGGGGUUGGAAAGUUUCGGCGGUUGGGGAUGGACUCGCGGCUUAUCAGCUUGUUGGUGGGGUAGUGGCUUACCAAGGCUUUGACGGGUAGCCGGCCUGAGAGGGUGACCGGCCACGUGGGACUGGGAGAACGCCCCGGACCCCACGGGGGGGAGGAGGGGGGAAAAUUUGAAAAGGGGGGGAAGGCGGAAGGAGCAAACGCCGGGUGGGGAGAGACGGCCUUGGGGUGGAAAACCGUUUUGCCCUGGAAGAAGGGGUAGGUACGGGAAUUGGUAAAGAAGCCACCGCUAAACUCGGU